GACGGGUGAGUAAUGCAUGGGAAUCUGCCCUCUAGUUUGGGAUACCGUGUGGAAACGCACGUUAAUACCGGAUACGAUCUACGGAUGAAAGGUGGCCUCCAUUUAUAAGCUAUCGCUAGAGGAUGAGCCCAUGUUAGAUUAACUAGUUGGUGGGGUAAUGGCUCACCAAGGUGACGAUCUAUAGCUGGUUUGAGAGGAUGAUCAGCCACACCGGGACUGAGACACGGCCCGGACUCCUACGGGAGGCAGCAGUGGGGAAUAUUGGACAAUGGGGGGAACCCUGAUCCAGCCAUGCCGCGUGUGUGAAGAAGGCCUGAGGGUUGUAAAGCACUUUUAGCGAGGAGGAAAGGUAUGUUGCUAAUAUCGGCAUGCUGUGACGUUACUCGCAGAAAAAGCACCGGCUAACUCUGUGCCAGCAGCCGCGGUAAUACAGAGGGUGCAAGCGUUAUUCGGAAUCACUGGGCGUAAAGCGCGCGUAGGCGGAUUAUUAAGUCGGAUGUGAAAGCCCUGGGCUUAACCUAGGAAUUGCAUUUGAUACUGGUAGUCUAGAAUUUAGUAGAGGGAAGGGGAAUUUCCGGAGUAGCAGUGAAAUGCGUAGAUAUCAGAAGGAACAUCAGUGGCGAAGGCGCCUUCCUGGACUAGAAUUGACGCUGAGGUGCGAAAGCGUGGGUAGCGAACGGGAUUAGAUACCCCGGUAGUCCACGCCGUAAACGAUGUCAACUAGUUGUUGGGUGCCUUGUGCACUUAGUAACGCAGCUAACGCAUUAAGUUGACCGCCUGGGAGUACGGCCGCAAGGUUAAACUCAAAUGAUUGACGGGGCCAAGCACAA
rnacentral:rRNA from 1 species